rnacentral:lncRNA from 1 species
UUUCUUCUCGUUUACCUGCCUGGAUCAUUAUUGAUCAGGUGGCUUACGUCUAAGUUAAGCAGCAGCAGCAUGAUCAGCAAGGUGAUCAGGCCCCUGUGGGCAUUGGCAGGCCUGAGCAGAGCCCGGAUGUGCAGUCUUGUGUCUUUGGCUAUAUCCAGUCUGUUCCUCAAUCUGCGGCCCUUUCUAUCCAGCCCACCUCAAGCUGUUUCAUCCUGCUUGUAAAAGCAACACUUGGUCAGGCAAAGUAAGAGAGAUUUUAUCAUCAGAUUUUUUUUGUAUGUUUAUAGUGUCUCUCCUAUUCCCAAGGCUGAUGGAAACUGGUGGAAACUCAGACUAAGUGUCCCACUUGUACUAUAAAAACUAUUGUUACCUUUCUAGAUUUUAUCAUCUAGAAUAAAAUGCUGUGAUUUGUUGAGUAAUGGUUUAAC